rnacentral:rRNA from 1 species
CGGCAACGGAUAUCUCGGCUCUCGCAUCGAUGAAUAACGUAGCGAAAUGCGAGACUUGGUGUGAAUUGCAGAAUCCCGUGAACCAUCGAGUCUUUGAACGCAAGUUGCGCCCGAAGCCAUCAGGCCGAGGGCACGCCUGCCUGGGCGUCACACGCCGUUGCCCCC